GAUGAACGCUGGCGGCGUGCCUAAUACAUGCAAGUCGAGCGAACGGACGAGAAGCUUGCUUCUCUGAUGUUAGCGGCGGACGGGUGAGUAACACGUGGAUAACCUACCUAUAAGACUGGGAUAACUUCGGGAAACCGGAGCUAAUACCGGAUAAUAUUUUGAACCGCAUGGUUCAAAAGUGAAAGACGGUCUUGCUGUCACUUAUAGAUGGAUCCGCGCUGCAUUAGCUAGUUGGUAAGGUAACGGCUUACCAAGGCAACGAUGCAUAGCCGACCUGAGAGGGUGAUCGGCCACACUGGAACUGAGACACGGUCCAGACUCCUACGGGAGGCAGCAGUAGGGAAUCUUCCGCAAUGGGCGAAAGCCUGACGGAGCAACGCCGCGUGAGUGAUGAAGGUCUUCGGAUCGUAGAACUCUGUUAUUAGGGAAGAACAUAUGUGUAAGUAACUGUGCACAUCUUGACGGUACCUAAUCAGAAGGCCACGGCUAACUACGUG
rnacentral:rRNA from 1 species